GAUGAACGCUAGCGGGAGGCCUAACACAUGCAAGCCGAGCGGUAUUGUUUCUUCGGAAAUGAGAGAGCGGCGUACGGGUGCGGAACACGUGUGCAACCUGCCUUUAUCUGGAGGAUAGCCUUUCGAAAGGAAGAUUAAUACUCCAUAAUAUAUUAAUUGGCAUCAAUUGAUAUUGAAAACUCCGGUGGAUAGAGAUGGGCACGCGCAAGAUUAGCUAGUUGGUGAGGUAACGGCUCACCAAGGCAAUGAUCUUUAGGGGGCCUGAGAGGGUGGUCCCCCACACUGGUACUGAGACACGGACCAGACUCCUACGGGAGGCAGCAGUGAGGAAUAUUGGUCAAUGGGUGCAAGCCUGAACCAGCCAUCCCGCGUGAAGGAUUAAGGUCCUAUGGAUUGUAAACUUCUUUUGUAUAGGGAUAAACCUACCCUCGUGAGGGUAGCUGAAGGUACUAUACGAAUAAGCACCGGCUAACUCCGUGCCAGCCGCCGCGGUAAUAC
rnacentral:rRNA from 1 species